UUGCUUAUUAAAAGACUAAGAAAUACUUUAAGAGGCUAACACAAAAGGGUAAAGGAACUCUCCAUAAAAUCUAGAGGGGAAAACUACACCUCCUCUUUGGAUCCUGUCUGGAGUUCACAGAU